GUCUAUGGCCAUACCACCCUGAACACGCCCGAUCUCGUCUGAUCUCGAAAGCUAAGCAGGGUCGGGCCUGGUUAGUACUUGGAUGGGAGAAAACUCAGAGAAUAUUGAAA
ensembl:rRNA 5S_rRNA 5S ribosomal RNA